GACGAACGCUGGCGGCGUGCUUAACACAUGCAAGUCGAACGGAAAGGCCCCUUUGGGGGUACUCGAGUGGCGAACGGGUGAGUAACACGUGAGUAACCUGCCCUUGACUUCGGGAUAACUUCAGGAAACUGGGGCUAAUACCGGAUAGGAAUCCUUGCUGCAUGGUGGGGGUUGGAAAGCUUCGGCGGUUUUGGAUGGACUCGCGGCUUAUCAGCUUGUUGGUGGGGUAGUGGCUUACCAAGGCUUUGACGGGUAGCCGGCCUGAGAGGGCGACCGGCCAACUUGGGACUGGGAUACGGCCCAGACUCCGACGGGAGGCAGGAGUGGGGAAUAUUGCACAAGGGGCGGAAGCCUGAUGCAGCAACGCCGCGGGCGGGAGGACGGCCUUCGGGUUGGAAACCGCUUUCAGCAGGGGCGAAGCUUGUGGUGACGGUACCUGCAGAAGAAGCACCGGCUAACUACGUG
rnacentral:rRNA from 1 species